UACGUAGGGUGCAAGCGUUUGUCCGGAAUUAUUGGGCGUAAAGAGCUCGUAGGCGGUUUGUCGCGUCUGCUGUGAAACCCGAGGCUCAACCUCGGGCCUGCAGUGGGGUACGGGCAGACUAGAGUGGCGGUAGGGGAGAUUGGAAUUCCUGGUGUAGCGGUGAAAUGCGCAGAUAUCAGGAGGAACACCGAUGGCGAAAGCAGGUCUCUGGGCCGUAACUGACGCUGAGGAGCGAAAGCAUGGGGGAGCGAACAGG
rnacentral:rRNA from 1 species